rnacentral:lncRNA from 1 species
GGGCUAUUAGCCAAGAAAGUCUAUAUCCUAAGUUCCUUAUAGAUCCCUUAGGGAGCUGCCAAUUUGGCAUGCCCUUUGAUAUCCGAAAUCCUCACCAAAUCUGGCCCGACCUCACAAUAGUCAGGGGAGGGUUGGAGGGGGCAGCCAGAAAUGGGAGAGAGCCUCCUGGAACCAUGCCAGGAGGUGUAUUAGAUUAUAAAUUACUUAUUUAUUCAUAUUAAUGCCCAUCUCAGGGAUACCGAAAAUGGCUGGUCGACCCCAGCGAGCCCAGCAGCGACGAAGGAGGCUUACCCGGAUACGGCCUCUUUCCUUGCCAUCUAGGCCGUACCACCUUUCCUUCUUCUGUACCAAAAGACCACGGUUUCCGGAAGUGAGCCGUGAAGCAAGGCCUUCAGCAGGCCAAGGUCUGCAGGAUGAGCCCGCUGUCCCGGGGGCCGCGGAAUGAUUGCCGAUGAGUGGCCGGAAAGGUGAGGAAAGUGACCGACUCCAGACCUUCAGCUUCGGGGGUGAGGUGGAGAUCCAGACCAACGGCGACGAUGCUUUUCCGAAUGAAUGAAACGUGGCUUCCGCAGCAGAAGCAGCACGGCCUAGCGCAAAGAGAGCGUGGGCCCGGGAAUCCGAGGACCCGGGUUUUAACCCCAGUUCUGCCACCUGCCCGUGUGACCUCGAGUAAGUCGCUUAACUUCUCUGUGCCUCGGUUUCCUCAUCCCUUAAAAUGGAGAUUCAAUGCCUGACUCCCCCUGGGAGCCUCUCGUGGGACAGGGACGGUGUCUGACCUGAAUAACGUAUAUCUAUCCCACCGCUUAGAACAGUAAUUGACACCUAGUAAGUUCUUAGCAAAAAUAAUAAUCAUAAUUAUCAACCGCGGUGUCUUGUUAUAGCGUGAUGUGCUGUGAUGUCCCGAUUACCCCGUUCGGAAAUGUCUCCUGGUUUUUACUCUUCCUAGGCUCCCUCACCACACCCCACAAUCCACACAAACACACACUGGUGUCUUUAUCACCUCGGGCAUCUCGUUCUGACAGGAUAAGGUCCUAAUUAAGCGGCACCGUGGCGUAGUGGGAAAAGCACAGGCCUGGGAAUCGGAGGACCUGGAUUAUAAUCCUGGCUCCAACUACACGUCUGCUGUGUGACUUUGAUCAAGUUUUGUUUCGUUUUGCUUUGUUUUGCCGUCCGUCUCCCCCCGUUCUAGACUGAGAGCCAGCUGUUGGGUAGGGAUUGUCUCUAUUUGUUGCUGAAUUGUACUUUCCAAGCGCUUAGUACAGUGCUCUGCACACGGUAAGCGUUCAAUAAAUUCGGUUGAAUGAAUGAAUGAAUCAAGUCACUUCUCUGGGCCUCAGUUUCCUCAACCAUAAAAUGGGGAGUAAAUACAUGGUCUCCCUCUUCCUUUGAUCGUGAACCUCAUGUGGGGCAGAGAUUGUGUCCAACCCGAUUCAUCUGUAUCUACCCCAGCGCUUAGAACAGUGCUCGACACCUAAGUGUUCACAAAUGUCAUAACGAUCAUCAUGUCACAACGUGUGGCCUCUUUACCCCGGACUUGUUAGUUGCCACCGCCGUUCAUUCAUUCAGUCGUAUUUACUGAGCGCUUACCAUGUGCAGAGCACUGUAUUAAGCACUUGGAAAGUACAAUUCGACGAGAGAGAGAGAGA